UCUAACAUACGCUCUCCGUCCAUCAACAUUCAUCCCUACCAUUCUUUUGCCUAUAUGGCAUUCAUCCUUCCUCAUUACAUGCCCAUACCACGCUAACCUACUACUCCUUAUUUUCUCCGUUACUGGAGCUACUUUCAAACUUCCUCUUAUAUACUCAUUCUUAAUACGAUCCUUUCUCGUCACUCCACACAUCCAUCUCAGCAUUCUCAUUUCCGCUGCGUGCACUCUUCUUUCAUCCGCUACUUUCGUCGCCCAGCAUUCUGAUCCAUACAUUACAACAGGUCUCACGAUCGUUCUGUAUAUUUUCCCCUUAAGUUUAAGGGGCAUUCGUGGAUCGCAAGUUGUUCCAGAGACCUGUCGCCAUUUCAUCCAUCCCGCAUUUAUAUUAUUUUUCACGUCUCGGUCGAUGUUUCCGUCACUUUGGAUCAAUGACCCAAGGUACCGGAAGUCAGAGCAGACUGGCAAUAUGGGAAAAACUGGAUAGACCACCGAAAUCGCAGAACAUGUGCUCCGUUUUGGUUCUGCUUAUUUUGAGUCCCACACUUUCCAGCUUUUCUUGCCAUUUUCCCAGCCUGCUCUGGACCUCAAGUGCAUUUUCUACGACAAGAACAAUGUCGUCGGCAAACAGCAUACACCAAGGUGCCUCCUACUGUAUGUUCGAUGUCAGAGCAUCCAUAACCAGGAGGAACAAAUACGGGCUUAAGGCCGACCCCUGGUGUAAACCUACCGCCACAUUGAACUUGUCGGUUACUCCUGCUUCCGACCUGACGUAAGUACUGGCUCUGUCAUACAUCGCCUGAACAAGCCGCACAUACUUCUCUGGCAUUCCUUUCUCUCUCAUAGACCACCACAGAACCUUAC